rnacentral:rRNA from 1 species
CAGUAGGGGAUCUGAGAGGAUUAACCCCCACACGGAUACUGAGACACGGAUCCGACUCCUACGGGAGGCAGCAGUAAGGAAUAUUGGACAAUGCCCGCAAGGGUGAUCCAGCCAUGCCGCGUGCAGGAAGACGGCCCUAUGGGUUGUAAACUGCUUUUAUACCGGAGAAAACCUCCCCUCGUGAGGGGAGCUGAUAGUAUGGUAAGAAUAAGCAUCGGCUAACUUCGUGCCAGCAGCCGCGGUAAGACGAAGGAUGCAAGCGUUAUCCGGAUUCAUUGGGUUUAAAGGGAGCGUAGGUGGCCUUAUAAGUCAGUGGUGAAAUCUCUGGGCUUAACCCAGAAAUUGCCAUUGAUACUGUAGGGCUUGAGUAUAGUUGCCGUUGGCGGAAUAUGACAUGUAGUGGUGAAAUACAUAGAGAUGUCAUAGAACACCGAUUGCGAAGGCAGCUGACGAAACUAUAACUGACACUGAGGCUCAAAAGUGCGGGGAUCAAACAGGAUUAGAUACCCUGGUAGUCCGCACUGUAAACGAUGAUUACUCGCUGCUAGAGGGCAACUUUUAGUGGCUUAGCGAAAGCGAUAAGUAAUCCACCUGGGGAGUACGCCGGCAACGGUGAAACUCAAAGGAAUUGACGGGGGCCCGCACAAGCGGAGGAGCAUGUGGUUUAAUUCGAUGAUACGCGAGGAACCUUACCAGGGCUUGAAAGUUAGUGACCGGAUCUGAAAGGAUUCUUUCCGCAAGGACACGAAACUAGGUGCUGCAUGGCUGUCGUCAGCUCGUGCCGUGAGGUGUUGGGUUAAGUCCCGCAACGAGCGCAACCCCUACCAUUAGUUGCCAGCGGUUCGGCCGGGGACUCUAGUGGAACUGCCCGCGCAAGCGGUGAGGAAGGUGGGGAUGACGUCAAGUCAUCACGGCCCUUACGUCCUGGGCUACACACGUGCUACAAUGGCUAUUACAGAGGGCAGCUACAUAGUAAUAUGAUGCAAAUCUUCAAAAAUAGUCUCAGUUCGGAUUGAGGUCUGCAACUCGACCUCAUGAAGCUGGAUUCGCUAGUAAUCGCGCAUCAGCAAUGGCACGGUGAAUACGUUCCCGGGCCUUGUACACACCGCCCGUCAAGCCAUGAAAGCUGGGAGUAUCUAAAGUCGGUAGCCGUAAGGCGCCGCCUAGGGUAAAACCGGUGAUUGGGGCUAAGUCGUAACAAGGUA